rfam:Danio rerio unplaced genomic contig NA828, GRCz11 reference primary assembly.
GGCUCGGUAGUCUAGGGGUAUGAUUCUCGCUUUGGUUGCGAGAGGACCCGGGUUCAAAUCCCGAACGAGCUG